ACGACUCUCGGCAACGGAUAUCUCGGCUCUCGCAUCGAUGAAGAACGCAGCGAAAUGCGAUACUUGGUGUGAAUUGCAGAAUCCCGCGAACCAUCGAGUUUUUGAACGCAAGUUGCGCCCGAAGCCUUUCGGCCGAGGGCACGCCUGCCUGGGUGUCACGCAACAU
rnacentral:rRNA from 2 species